rnacentral:misc_RNA from 1 species
GGGCCAAGUGGGUGGCUUUAGCCGAGCGUUCUUCGGGGAUGUAGUCCGUAAAGGUGGCAUGAGUGGUGUUUGGUUUGUUACGGAUGGUUGGAUGUCUGCUUGCGCAGCAACUUCCAUGCGUGCUUACCUCUUCAAUUGUUCUACAAGCCAUGUUUGGCUUGAAGUUCAAGGUGGGUUUCCUGUGUUGCGUACCUAAUCGAUGGCAUUGCUUGUCCCUAUAAAAGUUUUAUUUCGUAGUGUGCUGCUUGCGGCUUGAUACGAAUCCAUAUGCUUCCGACUCUAUUUCACUCCCGGCGAUCUUGUCAUCGAGCGGCUUGGCUUAUAGAGUGUUGCUUUGAUUUUGUAACUUGCUGCUUGUGGCCUGAUGCGAACCAAGAAGCUUUCUCUAUCGUCCACCUUUCGAUGGUCAUUCAUUGAUGGUAUGGCUCACGGAGUUUUGCUUGGCCCCUUGAAUACGGAACAUGAUGUGGGCAUAAGGUACAUCAUUGAUCAUUUAUUUGCCCUCAU